CACGUAGGCACCAAGCGUUGUCCGGAUUUAUUGGGCGUAAAGAGCUCGUAGGCGGUUCAGUAAGUCGGGUGUGAAAACUUUGGGCUUAACCCAAAGCGUGCAUCCGAUACUGCUGUGACUUGAGUUCGGUAGGGGAGUGGGGAAUUCCUAGUGUAGCGGUGAAAUGCGCAGAUAUUAGGAGGAACACCUAUUGCGAAGGCAGCUCGCUGGGACGUAACUGACGCUGAGACGCGAAAGCGUGGGGAGCAAACAGG
rnacentral:rRNA from 1 species